rnacentral:rRNA from 1 species
AUGGAGUACCAGCCCAUCAUCUCAGCGCUUGAUACAAGCACGGAGCCGGUAUCGGUCGACAUCCUCUUCUCCAUGGUGGCGAAUUUCGACCAGCGAGUCGAGAUGUUCCAUGGUACAAACGCCGGAUCCUUCAAAUCAUCGGCGAAUACUGCAUCUCGUGGUCGCCAGGGAAACACCAAAACCUACCAAAACCAGCGGAGUGGUGGAGGUGGUGGUGGAUCCCGUGGUGGUGGCGGCCAGUACGGAGGCGGUGGCGGCGGACAAUACGGUGGUGGCGGUGGCUACCACAACGGCGGCAACAAUCAGGGCGGUGGCGGCGGCUACCACCCAAACAACAGUGGUGGCGGCGGCUAUCCGGGCGGCGGCGGCUACCAUAGUGGUGGUGGUGGCGGCUAUCCUGGUGGGGGUGGCGGCUACUACCAGGGCAACCCUCGCAGUGGCAACAACAGGCGCCCCCCCCCCCGGCAACAACAAUCGGGGGCGCAAUUUCCAGGGCUACGAAGGAUACGAAGGGAAGUGCCAAAUCUGUAA